AAAGAUUAAGCCAUGCAUGUCUAAGUAUAAAUAAAUUUAUAUUGUGAAACUGCGAAUGGCUCAUUAAAUCAGUUAUGAUCUACGUGACAUAUUCUUUACUACUUGGAUAACCGUGGUAAUUCUAGAGCUAAUACAUGCAAAAAAACCCAAACUUACGAAUGGGUGCACUUAUUAGAUAAAGCCAACGCUGGGUAAAACCAGUUUCCCUUGGUGAUUCAUAAUAAUUAAGCGGAUCGCAUGGCCUUGUGCUAGCGACAGUCCACUCGAUUUUCUGCCCUAUCAUGGUUGAGAUUGUAAGAUAGAGGCUUACAAUGCCUA
rnacentral:rRNA from 1 species